GGUGACCAUAUCACGUUGAAACACCGGUUCUCGUACGAUCACCGAAGUUAAGCAACGUCGAGCCUGGUCAGUACCUAGAUGGGUGACCGCUUGGGAAUACCAGGUACUGUAAG